rnacentral:tRNA from 1 species
GCCACCGUAGCUCAGUUGGUAGAGCAUUCGCAUGGUAAGCGAAAGGUCUCCGGUUCAAUCCCGGACGGUGGCU